rnacentral:rRNA from 1 species
AUGAAAGCUGUUGAAAUACUUAAUACAUGCAAGUUUAUUUUUUAAUAAAAGUAGCGUACGGGUGAGUAAUGGAUAAGAAUUUACCUUUUUUUUGUUUUAAAUUUUAAUAAAUUGAUUUGCUUGUCUAGGAUUAGGUAGUUGGUUAGGUAAAAGCUAACCAAGCCGAAGAUCCUUAAUUGGUCUUAGUAGGAUGGCCAGUCACAUUAGAUCUGAGAUAAGAUCUAAGCAAUAUUUUUUGCCAGCAGUAGGGAAUUUUGCACAAUGGGAGAAAUCUUGAUGCAGUAAUUUCAAGUGAAUGAAGAAGGCCUUUUUGGUUGUAAAAUUUUUUCAAUUAAUUUUAAAACUAGAUAAUUAAUAAAAGAAAUCCCGUCUAAUUCUGU